CCUGUGAACUGCUGGUAAAUCCACUUCUACGAGGAGGAAGAGCUACUACUCCAACUGAGGUCUAACUCAGACCACUGCAUCCGUUAUUUCUGGACUGUUACUGUCAGUUUUGUGCCCCUCACUACAAGGAUAUUGAGGCGCUCAAGCACACGCAGAUAAGAGCAACAGAGCUGUUGAAAGAACUAGAAAUGAGAUAUACAAGGAGUGGAUGAGGGAACUGGAUUUGUUUAGUCUGGAAAAAACGAGUCUGAGGGGAGACUUCAUCACUCUCUACAAAUAGAAGGAGGUUGCAGCAAGAAGGGUGUCAGUCUCUAAAGUGAAAAUCAAUAGCAAAUGAGGAAAUGGCCUCAAGAUCCAACAGAGCACCUGCCAUACCUGAUAUACAUUCCUUCACGGUUAAUGUCCUUGUAGAAGUUCUAGGGACAAAAACAUUUGAGAAGAGGAAAAUAUGGAUAUCCAAAUGCAGUAACAUGAGCUACGUAUUUUGGCUACACGUGGUGCCCAGAGAAGAAGCUGGUGUUUACUGAAUUUGAUACUGUUGUUCAGUAUCUCUAAAGGGGCUCAAUACAGAAAUAAAAUCAAUUUUUCUCACUUUGAGGCUUUAGCAUGUGUAUGAGGUGCUAGGCUGUGCCAAACAUGCCACAAGAAUUGCCUCCUUAAGAGCUGCAGAAAUUUAUACAAUAUUGCACAGUGAUUACUGAGGAACAAAGAAUAUGUGCAUGUAGAUGUUUAUCAUGCUUUCUUUCCCACACUUAAAGUUCAUACAGGUUUCUCUGCUGCUUAGAGGAAAUUUCCUGGUCAUGAAAUAACUUUGAUCUAUCUAUGUGGAAUUCUUCACAACAAAAUAGUAACAGAAAAAAGAUGGAGUGGCUUAAAAUCAGAUGAGAGACUUAAAUAUCUUUAGCACCUUACUUCAAGUGUAUCUUGUAUGCUUCUUUUCCAGAUUUAAAAACCAGAACUGCAGAGUUGGUAAACCAGCUGGUUCCUUGUGCAAAACGUUAUUCUGUAAAAGCCAACUGUUACACUAAGCCUAUCAAAACAUAAACUGUAUGGAUAGUGGACUACAUAUCUUAGCCACAGAAUCAAACUGGAUAAAACAUACAAGUAAAACCAAAGAACUGAGCGGAUGUUGCUUUCAGGUUUAUGCAAAUAUCCAAGCAAAUGGAUGCAAAAAUCUGUUGCCUCAGGGUUUGAAUUAUUUUUCAAGCAUUGCAGACCAGCCUCUUCAUCUUUGGUAAGAGAAAUUCUCACACAAGAAUGGCA